rnacentral:rRNA from 1 species
CGAAAAGAAUUGGCUCUGAAGGAUGGGUAUAUGGGGAAUGUUUUAGCCUUGUUGAUUUUUUAUUGGAGAUGGGGUCGCAAGAUUUCGUUUCUUAUUUUUAAUCUAUAAUAACAAUCCAUUCUAAUCAACUAUAUACAACAAACAUCUAAUUCAGAACUGGUACGAACAAGGAGAAUCCGACUGUUUAAUUAAAACAAAGCAUUGUGACGGUUCGUAAGAAUGUAGACACAAUGUGAUUUCUGCCCAGUGCUCUGAAUGUUAACGUGAAGGAAUUCAAACAAGCGCGGGUAAACGGCGGGAGUAACUAUGACUCUCUUAAGGUAGCCAAAUGCCUCGUCAUCUAAUUGGUGACGCGCACGAAUGGAUUAAUGAGAUUCUCACUGUCUCUACCCACCAUCUAGCGAAACCACAGCCAAGGGAACGGGCUUGGAAAAGAAAGCGGGGAAAGAAGACCCUGUUGAGCUUGACUCUAGUCUGCUUCUGUGAAAAGACUUUGGAGGUGUAGCGUAAGGAGGAGCUUUACGGCGAACUUGAAACACUCCUACUUCGAACGUCUUUUUACUUCGGGUGUAAAAUGAUAUUGAAAGGAUGAAAGUUCUUUUAUUAUUUGAAUUCAUUGUAUUUUAAAAUACAACAAUCAAUCACCCAACAAAAGCAGGUGGGGAGUUUGACUGGGGCGGUACAUCUGCGAAAAAAUAGCGCAGGUGAACCAAGGCGGGCUCAGUGAGAAGAGAAAUCUCACGUAGAGCUAAAGGGCAAAAGCCCGCUUGAUUUAGUCUUUCAGUGUGAGAACAAACGAGGAAACUGUGUCCUAUCGAUCCUUUAUGUUUUGCGGAGAACCUCCGCCUAGAGGUGCCAGAAAAGCUACCACAGGGAUAACUGGCUUGUGGCUGCCAAGCGUCCAAAGCGACGUAGCUUUUUGAUCCUUCGAUGUCGGCUCUUCUCAUCAUUCCGUUGCAGAAGGCGGAAAGUGUCAGAUUGUUCACCUGUAAAAGAGGAACGUGAGCUGGGUUUAGACCGUCGUGAGACAGGUUAGUUUUACCCUACUUUCAGAUUGAUUUCUUGACUCGACACGGAGGUAGUACGAGAGGAACUGUCCGUGGGCGCAUUUGGUUCGUGCUUUCGUUGAACAACGAGUGAGCAGAUGCUACGCGCUCUUUUGAUAAAAACUGAAGGCCUCUAAAGUUUGAAUCAGACGAGAACAUGGAAGUCUAUAUUGCUUUUGAUUUUAUCCAGAUGCAUGAAUAUUAUUUAUAAAUGCUGUGUGGAGUUGUUGU